CUGUGACUGUCAUUUGAAGUCACUGCUUUUGGGGAUUGUUGGUUAUAGAUAGUAGGUAACCAAAAUAGCAAGGAAUGCUGCAGAUGGAUGUCAGGCUGAAAAUCUCAGAGGCAACAUACGUACGAUCAAGUAUCAGCAAUUUCAAUGUAAAUGACAUGGAAAGUAAAAAUACAUAAAUUAAUAAAUAAAUGAAGAAAAUAAAGGAGAGAGGACAGGAAAUCAGAAGACAGACUUUUGGAGAUGGAGAAAUGAGUAAGUGGAGGUGGGAGAAAAAAGAGCAAAGAAAGGGAAGGAGGAAGUCAGCAAGUAUCCCUGGGCUCUAUGCCAACAGAAAAGAUAAUGACAGAGAGUGCUGUUGGAGUUUACAGAGAAAGAGUUCUUUUGGAAAAGCAAAGAGAUUAUUAAAUGGAAGAUAGAAUUCUAAAUUCACAGACAAUGGGCAUCUAAACUUUGCUCCAUGCUGGAUCUGGGGGAAAUGU
rnacentral:lncRNA from 1 species